rnacentral:rRNA from 1 species
AAAUUGAAGAGUUUGAUCAUGGCUCAGAUUGAACGCUGGCGGCAGGCCUAACACAUGCAAGUCGACCGGUAACAGGAAACAGCUUGCUGUUUCGCUGACGAGUGGCGGACGG